GGAGGCGUGGCAGAGCGGCCGAAUGCACUGGUCUUGAAAACCAGCGACGGGCAACCGUCCGGGGGUUCAAAUCCCCCCGCCUCCG
rnacentral:tRNA from 2 species